GAGCCCACGGCCACAGCCACGUGUCCCUGCGGAGUCAGCUGCUCACUUCUGCUGGUGGUGGCUGCCUCUGGAGUCUCGGCCAGCAGAUUGGUGGCUUCCUCAAACUCUAUGGAGAAGUAACGGGACACAGGUGAAGCAGCUUCUCCGCGCCCCAAGCUCCUUUUCUGUAAAUGGCGAUGAUUCCGCUCGAGUUGUAAGAACAAUCUGGAAGCACAUAUGAGCACGUGGGACCCAGUGGGCAUCACGGUCCGCGGUGUGCGGAGACGCCAGCCCAGAAUGCACGCCCCACGGGCUGUGCUCUGCAAGAUGGGCAACCCGGCCGCGGGAACUGCGGGGACCAGGGCCGCCCAGGGGGAGUGCUCAGGACGUGGAGGAGAAAAGCCAUGGAGCAGAGCGUGCCCAUCUCCUGGAGCCAAAAGACACUUGGAUUGAAUACGAACGUUUUCAGGCCUCUCUUUCUUUAAACUUUCUCUUUAGUUGCUUGGAUCGGUUCAGCUUUCCAGGCGUGGGCCCCGGUGGGCACUCCGGGCUGGCUGCUGUGCCCCUCGAGGCGGGCAGAGGCUUCAGGCCCACUGUGCGCUGGGCAGCGGGAGGAGCGCGGUCCUGGCAGCGAGGGAGGGGCCACAUGCAUCUGUGGGCCUGCACCUGCCGUCCGCAGAGGUGGCCUGUCCCCUGAGAUGUCCCCUGCUGCUUCCCGGACGCCUGGCUGGCCUGGGCGCUGGCCCAGCUCCCUACUGUCUGGGAGUGGUCCUGAGGCGCCUAGCGCGCUAGGCCCUGCACCAGGGGAUGGCGGCAAGUGCCCAGGGCUGGGACUUAAGGAGACCCUCGCUCCCAGGGCCAGGCAGGGCAGGGGCUGCCCUGAGAGGGGCCUCCUGAAAGUCUGCAUCAGGCCUCACCUCGCCGCCUGCCCUGGCCCCGGCCAUGAUCCCUGCUGAUGCCACAAGCGCUUCUGCAGGUGAUGCUCACGGCCACAGGUGGAGGGGCCUCGACAGGCUCUGGCGUUUUGCUGACUCUCAGCCCAUCGCCAUCCUCCAGGUUUGGUCAUGUGACAGGUACUUAUUUGGGAGACACUUGAAAGAAGAGGCCGAACCCGUAGGACUGUAAGGUCUGGGGACAGCUCACAGCGUUCUGACACUCUUUUGUAUGACAAGUUUCAAACAUACACAAGGAUGUCUGACCUCCCAUAACUCAUCACCCAAUUCAACAAUUAAGAGUGUGCCA